GUUAAUUCAUAUAUGGUAGUCUUAUUUUCUUGCUAAGCUAUCUUUUGGCUGAUCAUAUGGGUUUCUCUUUUUAGUUAGAAUGAAUGAUAAAACAGAAUGUAUGCACUGAAUUCAAAUUGGGUUAAAAAAUUCUUUAUUUAGAAUGAUAUCUUUGUAUUUAGUUGGUGAGAAUCUUGUUUCUGAACAAAUCAUUUUUUGAAGGAGGCACUUCAAUUAUCAAUCUGUGCUUGCAGGUUUU
rnacentral:misc_RNA from 1 species